AACGCUAGCUACAGGCUUAACACAUGCAAGUCGAGGGGAAACGACAUCGAAAGCUUGCUUUUGAUGGGCGUCGACCGGCGCACGGGUGAGUAACGCGUAUCCAACCUGCCCACCACUUGGGGAUAACCUUGCGAAAGUAAGACUAAUACCCAAUGAUAUCUCUAGAAGACAUCUGAAAGGGAUUAAAGAUUUAUCGGUGAUGGAUGGGGAUGCGUCUGGUUAGCUUGUUGGCGGGGUAACGGCCCACCAAGGCGACGAUCAGUAGGGGUUCUGAGAGGAAGGUCCCCCACAUUGGAACUGAGACACGGUCCAAACUCCUACGGGAGGCAGCAGUGAGGAAUAUUGGUCAAUGGGCGAGAGCCUGAACCAGCCAAGUAGCGUGCAGGAUGACGGCCCUAUGGGUUGUAAACUGCUUUUAUAAGGGAAUAAAGUGAGUCUCGUGAGACUUUUUGCAUGUACCUUAUGAAUAAGGACCGGCUAAUUCCGUGCCAGCAGCCGCGGUAAUACGGAAGGUCCGGGCGUUAUCCGGAUUUAUUGGGUUUAAAGGGAGCGUAGGCCGGAGAUUAAGCGUGUUGUGAAAUGUAGGCGCUCAACGUCUGCACUGCAGCGCGAACUGGUCUCCUUGAGUACGCACAAAGUGGGCGGAAUUCGUGGUGUAGCGGUGAAAUGCUUAGAUAUCACGAAGAACUCCGAUUG
rnacentral:rRNA from 1 species